UGUGCCAGACCGCUUCAGAGAUGGAGUUUCCCUUCGGGGCUGGUUCACAGGUGGUGCAUGGUUGUCGUCAGCUCGUGUCGUGAGAUGUUGGGUUAAGUCCCGUAACGAGCGCAACCCUCGUUCCAUGUUGCCAGCACGUAGUGGUGGGGACUCAUGGGAGACUGCCGGGGUCAACUCGGAGGAAGGUGGGGAUGACGUCAAAUCAUCAUGCCCCUUAUGUCUUGGGCUUCACGCAUGCUACAAUGGCCGGUACAAUGGGUUGCGAUACUGUGAGGUGGAGCUAAUCCCUAAAAGCCGGUCUCAGUUCGGAUUGGGGUCUGCAACUCGACCCCAUGAAGUCGGGGUCGCUAGUAUCGCAGA
rnacentral:rRNA from 1 species